rnacentral:rRNA from 1 species
AUGAACGCUAGCUACAGGCUUAACACAUGCAAGUCGAGGGGCAGCAUGAUUGAAGCUUGCUUCAAUUGAUGGCGACCGGCGCACGGGUGAGUAACACGUAUCCAACCUGCCGUCUACUCUUGGACAGCCUUCUGAAAGGAAGAUUAAUACAAGAUGGCAUCAUGAGUCCGCAUGUUCACAUGAUUAAAGGUAUCCCGGUAGACGAUGGGGAUGCGUUCCAUUAGAUAGUAGGCGGGGUAACGGCCCACCUAGUCUUCGAUGGAUAGGGGUUCUGAGAGGAAGGUCCCCCACAUUGGAACUGAGACACGGUCCAAACUCCUACGGGAGGCAGCAGUGAGGAAUAUUGGUCAAUGGACGAGAGUCUGAACCAGCCAAGUAGCGUGCAGGAUGACGGCCCUAUGGGUUGUAAACUUCUUUUAUACGGGAAUAAAGUUAGCCACGUGUGGUUUUUGUAUGUACCGUAUGAAUAAGGAUCGGCUAACUCCGUG